CGCCACACCGCAGCGCUGUCUGUCAGCCGGUCUCGCGGGGGCGUUCACUUUGCUGCGCAAUGGUGUCGUUGGCAGUUCGGACCUCUCAUCUGCGCAACUGAAACAGGGCUCUGCAGGACUGGCGCUAUGACGGUAACUCAGUGGCUGAUGCUUCUGAUAGCCCAGGGGGCCACGGCCUUCGUGUGUCCACCGCACGUCUGCGAAAACACCACGUGCCCGCAUGUCUCAGUCGAAACCUGCCACGGUCGACUUAGCACUGAAGGCAGCUUCUGCGGGUGCUGCAUGAUCUGCGUACCCGAAUUAGAGCUUGGGCAGCCGUGCAUGUAUUUAACGUUGUUCGGUGUGCCCGCAACGUCCAAAUGUGCGAAAGGCCUCAUCUGCGAUUCUUACACCCACGUGUGCAGCCGACCUCGGUGGCACAUUACUCCUGAACAUAACAAAAACAUUCAGACAUUUUUUCGCAAAUUUAUUCAAUAAAACAACCCUGGCAUCACAGUAGCUGGCGCCUCAACUCCCUG